UAUAUGUAUAUAUAUAUAUAUAUAUAUAUAUAUAUAUAUAUAUAUUAAUAUAUACGCGUAGAGAUAAUAUGACUAUUAACAACCACCCACGACUAAAAAGAAGAAAAAAAAAGAUGAAAAUAUACAAGAAAAAGCUCCAAGUUCUCUCGAGCCGAACUUCUACUUUACGGAACGCACGAUCGAUGGAAUUCUCUGUGGAAAAAAACGAAAAACACGAGAUCGAAAAUAAUAGGCGACUUCUUGAUUACUAUAGCGAUAGAAGGAUAUCAUCUGUGCUUGCUCUUUUUCUCUUGGGAGUCGAACCGUUCGUCUCGCAAACCGACAUCGCUCGUUCGCUGCCGCACCGAACACGUUUAUAAAAAAAAAUCGAGGACGAGAAAUUUCGAGAUCAAAAUUCGCGAUCUCAGUCUAACCUAAAAACCGUUCCGGUCGUUUCAAACGGAUAAGAAGUUCAACGGAAACGACGUCUUCGUUCGUUCAGAAUUUUCGUUGUCGUUCAAGAAUCUCGGUCGAGAAUUUCGUUCGUACCCGGGAAGAAUUUUAUUUUCGUUCCGCGGGAAUCUCGGUUGUUCCGUAAAAAGUCCGCGUAACGCGAGAAGGCGCCCCGAAAAAAUUCGAAGAAUUUCGAAUGUUUUGAACCGAAUGAUUCUCGUGGGGUUAUGGUCGCAGCGAACGGGCGUACGGGACAGGAACGGGACAAAGUCGAAGAACGACAAAAGCAAUGGCUGUGGCACAAGGCCUAUUCAACGAUCAAAAACGUCUUCGGCACGCUUUUCCGUUCGAAGCUUCUCGGAGACGCGCGGACAGUUGCGUGUCCGAAUGACUUCCCGAGCGUGUUUUACUUUCGUCGCUGCCGCACACUAUUCGCAACCGCGUUCGCUUCAUAAUCAAACGUUUUGUCGGAAAGGAAAGCAAACAAAAAAAAAAGAAGAAAAACAAAACAGAAGGAGUACAGCCGGUGUAACGUCUCUAUACUUUUAAGAAGCAUUGUUACGUAUUAUAGAUGGAUGGAAAAAACAGAGAUAUUGUGACACACGGACACACAGCGAUCGAUCGCAUUGCGUCGCAUCGACGACGGAGAACGAGAGAGAGGCGUUCUACGCAGCGGAACGAAAGAGAGCGAGAGUGGAGGGGGAAGAGGCGAACGCGUGUGAGAGGGAAGGAGCAGCAGAAGGCUUCGGUCGCGUGGAACAAUGCAGCAAACAAAUUGUCUUAAUCACUGAACUCGCUCGCCGGAUGUUUCCAUUGAUAACGCACGGGUGCACGGUGCAACAGUGCAACAGUUUUAUGCGUCGCCGUUUCGCAUACAGCUCUCUGGAAAUGAAUAUCGCCUGGUGCUUUCUCUUCGGAAUUUUAUUCGAAGGAACUUCAACAAUCUCAUUUCGUUUAUUCUGAGAAAUGUCGGCCGCGUCGACCGUCAUGGCGCCUGUACAUUUUAUUCCUACAGUUCGAAAAAUUCUACGUCGUUUCAAAAUGUCAUUCACACGUCUCUGUCGUAGACGCAUUAAAUCGUCUGAUCGAUCUUCGAUAAUGCGAUCGAUUGCUCAGGAACCAUUGAACGGCGUAGCUGGAGCGUCGAUCCGACAACUAUGUACAGGGUGUUCCGAAAAUAAGGAAGAAACUGGUUCCACCGAGAACCUCGAAAUCCGUGAUUUGCGAAUGUCAUCUGUGUUGGCGACGCCCAUGGCCGAGCGGUGAGAGAAAAAUCAAGGGGAUGAAACAUUUGGCUGUAAAUAUUUUCUAUAAACUGGAGAGAAACAGAGUGCUAUAUAGCGAAAGAUAAACACAGAGAGCGAGAGAGAGAGAGAGAAAGAGAGAGAUUUAUCUUCGAAGUACAGAAACUUUUAUUUUUGUCUAAGAGAGCGAAAGAGGGGGGGGGGGAUAUACUGACUUUGCACGAUUCCAGCUCAUAGUGUGUUCACCGAGGAAGUAUUAUCACCGAUGCAGGUCCGCUUGAAAAUGCAUUAAUAAAACGAGAAAUGCAUAUGCACACGUGAAAUUGCGGAGCUAGGGUGGAGAAGCGUCAGCGUAUUCGAAAUAGCAAUGCACUGAGAGAGAGAGAGAGAGAGAGAGAGAGAGAGAGAGAGAACAGAGAACACAUAGAGAAAGAGAAAAAUAAAAUCGUGUAGAGACUCGAGGAGAUUCCAUAGAACGGAUACGAGAGAGAGAGAGAGAGAGAGAGAGAGAGAGAGAACACGUUGGAUCGACUGGUGUUAAACUAAGAGGGUUGUACAAAAAACUGUGCGUAACGUUAUUUUAUUGGAAGUGAGACUUCUAGAGUUUAGACUGUUAAUACACACGCGGUAUAUUAUUUUGGGUAAGCGUAUAUAAUGUAUAGAUGAAAAAUCGCUAUAAAGAAGUAACAAAAAAAAAGGAUAAAUAAAUGAAUAAAUAAACAAAUAAAAUAAGGUAAAUGAAUUACGGAGAAUAAUUUAAAACGAGGAUCGGUGUUGUUCGAGAGAGACGGAUAGAAGUAGCUUGUAGAGCAGCUCGGGGAUUCACUGGAGGGGGGGAAAGAGUGGAAAGAAAACUAUUAAGUACCUUGUUGAGUAUAAGUAGACUAAUAAAUCGCUAAGUCGCGAAACUUACGAGAGUGCGCGCGCGCGCGCGCGUAAGAGAGAGAGAAUUAUUAUCGUGCGCCCACUCGUCAGUGAGCGCACACCUGUGCACACUUCAUGUUCAUUCGACUCGGCUCGGCAUCAUUUUCAUGUACACACCUCGAAUACACGGGACAACACUCACUCACUCACUCACUCACUCACUCUAAAACCUGGUGAAACACCACAAUUAACACAAGUUGUAUAACGCAAAAUGUUGCAUGCCUAUUACACGCAAAUUACUACUAAACAAAACCACAAAAGAAAAAAAACAAGAAUAAUAAGAUACGAUUUAAAAGGAUAAAAAAAGAUAGUGGAUUUCACCGCGAGACGCCAGUGCCGCGCGUUUUUGUGCUUUAACCUUCAUUAAUUAAGGCUCCGGUGUCCGGCGGUGACCGGCGCG